rnacentral:rRNA from 1 species
UACGGGGGGGGCAAGCGUUGUUCGGAAUUACUGGGCGUAAAGGGCUCGUAGGUGGCCAACUAAGUCAGACGUGAAAUCCCUCGGCUUAACCUGGGAACUGCGUUUGAAACUGGGAGACUUGAGUGUGGCAGAGGGGGGUGGAAUUCCACGUGUAGCAGUGAAAUGCGUAGAUAUGUGGAGGAACACCGAUGGCGAAGGCAGCCCCCUGGGUUAACACUGACGCUCAUGCACGAAAGCGUGGGGAGCAAACAGG